rnacentral:rRNA from 1 species
AGCAGCCGCGGUAAUUCCAGCUCCAAUAGCGUAUAUUAAAGUUGUUGCAGUUAAAAAGCUCGUAGUUGAAUUUUAGGCCUGGCCAGGCGGUCCGUCUUUGGCGAGUACUGUCUUGUUGUCGGGUCUUCCUUCUGGUGAACCAGUAUGUCCUUUAUUGGGUGUGUUGGGGAGCCAGGACCAUUACCUUGAAAAAAUUAGAGUGUUUAAAGCGGGCUAUUGCUUGAAUAGAUUAGCAUGGAAUAAUAGAAUAGGACGUUGUGGUUCUAUUUUGUUGGUUUCUAGGACCACCGUAAUGAUUAAUAGGGAUAGUUGGGGGCAUUAGUAUUCAAUUGUCAGAGGUGAAAUUCUUGGAUUUAUUGAAGACUAACUACUGCGAAAGCAUUUGCCAAGGAUGUUUUCAUUAAUCAAGAACGAAAGUUAGGGGAUCGAAGACGAUCAGAUACCGUCGUAGUCUUAACCAUAAACUAUGCCGACUAGGAAUCGGGCGACGUUAUUUUACGACUCGCUCGGCGCCUUAUGG